rnacentral:lncRNA from 1 species
GUUGGAUAAUUCUCAAAUAGCUCAAAAGAAAAUCAAAUCUUUAAGCAAUUUAUUUCAUUUAUUGAAUGGUCUUUAACCCCCCUUUUGUUUGUCUCGUUUAAAAUACAAUCAUCUAUUUGGAUUUGGAUUCUUUAGUCUGAUUCAGUUAUUGAGACAAUGGAAACGGCGUUUCCUUGUUCUGGGAUCCUUUUUCUUUGUUUUAAAUCAUUGGGUUUAGACAUUACUUCGGUGCUUCUUAAUCCUUCCAACAAAAUGGCAGCAACAUACCCCUUUUGUGAUUUCUUUCUA